UUUGUCUCUAAAGUGAUAUACACAAAACCCCUUGAUUGUUUUGAGCAGACACAACAACACAUAAAAACACAGGGAACUUAUAUUCUCUAAACACAAAACCCAUCUCAAAACUUCACCUUCUCUAAUUAAAUCUAGCACACAAAUGAGCACCAUACCCUUCUCUCAUCUCUCGAUUCUUACAUAUACAGGCAACACUCAAAUCAUCAUUCUCCCUCCUCUCAAAACAUAACACAAACAAACACACAGCCCAACUCUCUUCUCCCUCUCGUUCUCUAGCCGGCAGCCGGAGUAAAUCCGACCGGUGUCGGCCACGUUCCAGCUAACCACCACAAACACCACCCUCCUCCUCCCUGUCGCACACCCACACACCUGCUGUCCUCGAUCAGUGAAACGACCGGCCACCACUACCGUCUGGUGGUGCUGCGACGCUAAACGGAGAGGAGAGAGACGGAGUCGGAGGUGCAGCGCCGCCGCUCAUGGCGGCGGCGGCGGCGGAGUCAAACGGCGGGUGGGGGGUGUCGAUGAUGAUGGUGGUGCUUAGCCGGUAGCGGCGACCAUUUGGUUCACGGUUUCGGGUGCGGUUUUCCGGUGACGGAGAUGGCACGGCGGAUGGGGGGGGUGUGUUAUCGGUUUUAGCAGCGACAGUGAAGGUGAAGCUUGGUUUCGGGUCAGAAAUUGGUCUGAGUUGGGUUUGUUUCGAGUCACGGCACAACGGGUCUAGGGUCGGUCAGUUUGGUCACUCAGCUUCGGGCUUGGUAUGGUUCAACAGACCUAAGGUUCAGAUGCAGUUCAGUCAACGGGUUAUAUUUCGGCGUUCGGGUCAAGGGUUGGUUCAACUCGGUUUGACUUGGUCAACCCGAGUCAACUCAGCCAACGGCAGUCAGCGGUUCGGUCAUCUGGUCAACACAGUGAGUUGACUCGGUCAACUCAACCGGUCAACUCAGUUGACUCGGUCAACUCAGUCAAGCGGCUCGACAUUUUGACGGAAGACUUGGUAAAAAUUAACGAUGCGUUUAUUUCGUUAUAUUUAUAGUUUUAUUAAAUACGUAAGAAACGAGCUCGAACCGACUGAUUAUAAUUUACAUUUGAUAUAUAUAUUUGACAAAAUUACAUAUACUUUAAUUGAAUCUUGGUUGAAUAUUGUUGAAUUUUGAUGAAAUAACGACAACCUGUGUUGUCGGGGGCGUCCAAAAACAGAGGAAACUCUGCCCGUUUUUUGAGAAAAUCCGUAAAACCAAAACGAGUUUUUAUUAUAAAACGAAACUAUCAAAUGAAUAUAUACACCAAUGUACUUCACUUCCGACGACACUUUAUAACGUACAAGGAACAACGAUAACACGGAUUAUUUUUGUAAAAGCAGAUAUGGUUUAUAUAUAUAUUUUUUUCAAAUCUACAACAAUACGAAUAAAUCAUAUAUAUAUUUGAUUCGACAUCGAAUAAUCCGACUUCUUUUUAUGAAAUAAAUAGUUUAUAUAUAUUUGUUUCAAACGACAACACUGUACGACUUUUGAAAGCAACGAUUCGGAAGCUAUUUACAACAAAUAAAUAUAGUUAUUAUAUUUAUUUGAAAUUUUGGAUAUCCGGCGAAUUCUUUUAUCACAUAUAGUUUUAUUUUAAACAUCAAACAAUUCGGAUUCUUUUGUAAAAAUAAAUAUAAUCUAUAUAUUUAUUUCGAACAUCAAGCAGUACGAAUUCGUUUUAUGAAAAUAAAUAUAAUUUAUAUAUUUAUUUCAAAUAUCAACACGAAUUCGUUUAUACAAAUACAUAUAGUUAUGUAUUCAUUUUAAAUAUCAAACAACAUCAACUCUUAUAAAAUAAAUAUAGUUUAUAUAUUUAUUUUUAACAUCAAACGACUCGUAUUCUUAUAUAAAAGUAAAUAUAGUUUGUAUAUUUAUUUUUUUUAAACACAAACAACUCGAUGAUACUUUGGUAAAAUAAAUAUAUCUUUUAUAUUUAUUUCAAAACGCCUUAACGGCACACUAUAAAUCAUAUAUAUCGCGUACGAGUUUGUUACAUGUUAUUUUCAUACAAAUACUUGUUACAUACACAAACGACUUCUCGGGACGACAAACGAUCUUAACGAUAUAUUUUUGAUAUAAAUAUUUAUCCAUUUUUACAUAUCUCGAGAAUCAAGUCUUUUCAAGACUUAUUAAUUAUUACCGACGAAUAGACGAACUAAACAAAGUAUAACUUCAUCAUUAACAACUUACCGUUGAAUCGUUCGGUUAAUGAUUCGGUAGAGCUCGAUGACACGUAGUUUAGUUACCGUGUUUAUUUAGAAACUUAUAAAAUAUUCCGUGUUAGGAAUAUUGUAGAAUGCACGCUAGCAAGUCACGUCUUGGAAACGACAUCACGAAGUCGUAAUUAGCUAGCUUCGCACAAGGCAAUUCAGGUGAGUUCAUGUCCCCCUUUUCCUUAAACUGUUUUAUUUACUUACUUUUGGGGUGAAAUACAUGUUACAAAGGGAUACUUACAAUACUAUUGGUAUGAUUAGCCUAGGAAAGAACUAUAGAUCAUGUGAUAGGGUAGGCGGAUACUUGGGACCAUUAAUCCUCAUAUCAGGAUCGAGGGGCAUGAGUGAUAGAUCUAUUUGGGUGUAGCGAGCCCACACUCAUGAGGCCGGGGCGGCCCAUAGUGGUGACUAUGUCUUCCAGCCGGAAGCCCGGUACAACUUUGCUAGGUUUGAGUCUUCCUACACCGUCACACAUAUCAAUGGCCUUGCAAACCAUUGGUGAUCUUUUCCUUGUUUGCAAUCAUACCGGGACAUACAUACAUUGUUUACAAAGGUUUAUACGUACUCACUUACACAUGAACUCGCUCAACUUUUGUUGAUUUUUCAAACUACAUGUAUUUCAGGGAACUAGUGGAUCUGGAAGGGUAUGCAUGUGUCGUCAAGCUGCGUCUGAAUAAAAGAUGUUAUCCAGGGUUGUUGAGUUUAGAGAUUGUAUUCCUUUCCUGGAUGGGAUACAUAAUUCUAAACUCAGGUUUUCUUUAAGUACUUUUGUCGAGUCUUUAUGAACUCCAUUAAACACGUCAUGGUUUGUAACUUAAGUUGGUAUUGAUGUUUUUAGACAAUGUUGUUGUGGUAUUUCCUAAACUCUUUUAAUGGAUAAAUGUGACAACUCGAGUUUCCAGGAUUC